GACGAACGCUGGCGGCGUGCUUAACACAUGCAAGUCGAACGGACAGACAGAGAGCUUGCUCUCUUGAAGUUAGUGGCGAACGGGUGAGUAACGCGUAAUCAACCUGCCCUUCAGAGGGGGAUAACAACGGGAAACCGUUGCUAAUACCGCGUACGGUUCAUGAACGGCAUCGUUUACGAAUGAAAGGUGGCCUCUAUGUAUAAGCUAUCGCUGAAGGAGGGGAUUGCGUCGGAUUAGCUAGUUGGAGGGGUAACGGCCCACCAAGGCAAUGAUCACUAGACGGUCUGAGAGGAUGAACCGCCACAUUGGGACUGAGACACGGCCCAAACUCCUACGGGAGGCAGCAGUGGGGAAUCUUCCGCAAUGGACGAAAGUCUGACGGAGCAACGCCGCGUGAGUGAUGAAGGUCUUCGGAUUGUAAAGCUCUGUUAAUCGGGACGAAAGAGUUCUGCGUGAAUAAUGCAGAAAAGUGACGGUACCGGAAUAGAAAGCCACGGCUAACUACGUGCCAGCCGCCGCCGUAA
rnacentral:rRNA from 1 species